AAGGAGCCGUUACAUAGAGAACAAAUAGGGGUGUAUGCAGUUACAUAAACGCGCUUUAGAAACUCGGAAGAGCCGCCAGUGAUUAAGAAUUAUGUGUGGGAAGGGUGCAACAGAACUAAAUCGGAAAUAAAGGGAGGGGGAGUCGGAAUGCUCAUACUUCAGGGAGCCAAAUG
rnacentral:lncRNA from 1 species